AUACGGAGGGUGCAAGCGUUACUCGGAAUCACUGGGCGUAAAGCGUGCGCAGGCGGUCUUUUAAGUUGGAUGUGAAAGCCUACGGCUCAACCGUAGAACUGCAUCCAAAACUAUUAGACUAGAGUGUGGGAGAGGAAGAUGGAAUUAGUUGUGUAGGGGUAAAAUCCGUAGAGAUAACUAGGAAUACCAAAAGCGAAGGCAAUCUUCUGGAACACUACUGACGCUGAGGCGCGAAAGCGUGGGGAGCAAACAGGAUUAGAUACCCUAGUAGUCC
rnacentral:rRNA from 1 species